rnacentral:rRNA from 1 species
UACGUAGGGUGCGAGCGUUGUCCGGAAUUAUUGGGCGUAAAGAGCUCGUAGGCGGUGUGUCGCGUCGGCCGUGAAAACCUGGGGCUUAACUCUGGGCGUGCGGUCGAUACGGGCAUCACUGGAGUUCGGCAGGGGAGACUGGAAUUCCUGGUGUAGCGGUGAAAUGCGCAGAUAUCAGGAGGAACACCGGUGGGCGAAGGCGGUGGUCUGGGCCGACACUGACGCUGGUAGAGCGAAAGCGUGGGGAGCGAACAGG